rnacentral:ncRNA from 2 species
AUGAACGUCGCAAGAGAGACCUCUCUAUAUCCAUGCUUUCUUGGAAUGGAGGCGCCGAAGGUGCAAGGCCGGUAUGCGGUCGAAACUCUCAGGCAAAGGGAUUGCGACGGGACG